UAAUACGAAGGGUGCAAGCGUUAAUCGGAAUUACUGGGCGUAAAGCGUGCGUAGGCGGUUUGUUAAGUCAGAUGUGAAAUCCCCGGGCUCAACCUGGGAACUGCAUUUGAUACUGGCAGGCUAGAGUACGGUAGAGGGUGGUGGAAUUCCCGGUGUAGCGGUGAAAUGCGUAGAGAUCGGGAGGAACAUCCGUGGCGAAGGCGGCCACCUGGACCAGUACUGACGCUGAGGCACGAAAGCGUGGGGAGCAAACAGGAUUAGAUACCCUGGUAGUCCACGCCCUAAACGAUGCGAACUGGACGUUGGGCUCACUUUGGAGCUCAGUGUCGAAGCUAACGCGUUAAGUUCGCCGCCUGGGGAGUACGGUCGCAAGACUG
rnacentral:rRNA from 1 species